rnacentral:rRNA from 1 species
UACGUAGGGUGCAAGCGUUGUUCGGAUUUAUUGGGCGUAAAGCGCGUGUAGGCGGUCUCUUAAGUCUGAUGUGAAAGCCCUGGGCUCAACCUGGGAACUGCAUUCGAGACUGCAUUGCUAGAGUAUGGGAGAGGGAAGUGGAAUUUCAGGUGUAGCGGUGAAAUGCGUAGAUAUCUGAAGGAACAUCAGUGGCGAAAGCGACUUCCUGGGCCAAUACUGACGCUCAUGUGCGAAAGCGUGGGGAGCAAACAGG